rnacentral:rRNA from 1 species
UGGGGAAUAUUGGACAAUGGGCGCAAGCCUGAUCCAGCCAUGCCGCGUGAGUGAUGAAGGCCCUAGGGUUGUAAAGCUCUUUCACCGGUGAAGAUAAUGACGGUAACCGGAGAAGAAGCCCCGGCUAACUUCGUGCCAGCAGCCGCGGUAAUACGAAGGGGGCUAGCGUUGUUCGGAUUUACUGGGCGUAAAGCGCACGUAGGCGGACUUUUAAGUCAGGGGUGAAAUCCCGGGGCUCAACCCCGGAACUGCCUUUGAUACUGGAAGUCUUGAGUAUGGUAGAGGUGAGUGGAAUUCCGAGUGUAGUGGUGAAAUUCGUAGAUAUUCGGAGGAACACCAGUGGCGAAGGCGGCUCACUGGACCAUUACUGACGCUGAGGUGCGAAAGCGUGGGGAGCAAACAGG